GCUUGAACCUGCCAGAACAGGGGAGACUGAGAUGAGCUCUUAGGCAGAAGCUCUUCCCUGUGAGGGUGCUGAGGCGCUGGCACAGGGUGCCCAGAGAAGCUGUGGCUGCCCCAUCCCUGGCAGUGCUCAAGGGCCAGGUUGGACACAGGGGCUUGGAGCAACCUGCUCUGGUGACAGGUGUUGGAGCUGGAUGAGCUUUAAUGUUCCUCCCAACAGAAACCAUUCUAUGACUCUAUGAGAGGCCUAUGGAGCUGGUGGUAUGGACUGUCUGACUGCAGUCCUUCCGGGUUUUGCAGUGUCCCACAGCAUGAGAGGGUUUGUGGCAGUGCGCAUUGCUGCCUGUUUCAUUGCUGCUUGCUUGUUUCCCCAGAGCUUUGAAGGAGGCAGAGAGGGCUUUACUUCAUCUGCAAGCCAAAUACUUCAGAGAAAAUACAAUCCCUGCCAUUUUCAUGUGCAACAGGAAAAGCAGAGGUGUGGAGAGCUACAGUCCAAGUACUGUAUGGAAAUGAACACUGACUGUAUGUGGACACCUUUCCUGGAGUUACUAAGGAGCAGAGCAAGCUAUUCCCGUCUCAAAAUGCAGACAUCUCAAAUAACAGACAUUUUAAAGAUACUAUUUGGAAGCUUGCAUUGUUUCUGA
rnacentral:lncRNA from 14 species